GGUGUGUUUAAUAAUAUUAAAAAUGGAUUUGGAUAACGAAGUUUUGAUAGCCUUAGUGUUUGAUAAACAAUGUUUAUGGGACAAAACUCAUAAGUUCCACAGCAACAGAAAUUUCGAUGUCAAACUACUCUCAUUUAAGUAAUGUUUCCCGUAAUAGUACUCCAGAGACCUGCAACGAAAUAACUCUUCCACAAACUUCGAGUGACAAUAUUGCUGUUAUAAGCAACCAAUUAGCCACAGAAGAAUAUAUUUUUCAUUGUGAUUAAAACUACUUACAAAUAAAACAUACUAGCCUACUGAAUGAAUAAAGGUCAA